AAAUUUACCUGGCAGGAGAGAUACCAUGAUCAUGGAGAUGAUUUUCCCAGGGCGAGGCUUAUCCAGUGCACUGUGGAUGUGCUGAGCCCUCCGAUGUUCUUAAAUGUGGGAACCUUGACCGCAUAAUUUGUCAGUGGGGGACUGUGUUCAUGCUUUCUCCUG
ensembl:snRNA U1 U1 spliceosomal RNA